AGUUGUUGAAAGAAGCCCCUGAUCGCCAGGGUUUCUUGUUUAAGGCCCAGUCGUCGGGAACUCGGGCCGACCGGAUUUGAUCCCAGGGCCAGCUUACCCUUGGCAUCGCAGUCCAAUGCGAUACCAAUGCGGCGAGCUACGACUCUAAUAUUUCAAUUUUCUUUUUCGAUAAAAUUCGACUACUGAAACAACUCGUUAAUUAUCACGUCAAACUUGAGGGAAAUUUAUAAGGUCACUUUCUUUUCGAUUGGCAAGUUAUCCGCCAGUGUUCGUCUGCAUAUCUGCCUGUUGCCGUUAACACAAAAACCACAUUUGCGAUGGAAAUGUUUGUUCCAUUUGAAACCAGUUCAGGUAGGUCCUUAAAUACCAGAUUAAUGUUGUAGGAUUUCCCUUUAGUCGAAAAACUUCAACAAAAAAAACAAAUUUUACAAGAACUAUUAGUUAUAUCUAUUUUCUCACAAUGUAUUCUUGUUAUUAAGGGGGGCCAGUUUAGACUUGUAUUAAAAAUUGUUUCUGUUUA